AUAAAGCACGCAGCCAGUUGUGGAAGUCCACCAAACAAAUCGGAGAUCAAUAUUCGCAAGCCCCACUACUGGUUUCCGCCCUGAUAAACUAUACAUCUGCAAGGAACACGCGGCUCACAAAUGAUGGAGAAGGAGAACAAAUCCACCAACGACAACGGGCGAAAACCUUCUGGACGGGAUCUGCAAUCUCUUCCGACGCGGCAAUACUUGGACCAGACCGUAAAUCCCAUUCUGCUUCAGGGGCUGAAGGCGCUGGCCAAGGAACGGCCUCAGGAUCCGGUGCAGUAUUUGGCCAAUUUUCUGCUGAAGAACAAAAGCCGUGUCGACGAGAGCAACGGUGGCACGGAGGAGGGAUAGUUUGGUGGGGAGCUUAUAACAUAAUCAUGAGGUGUGAUAUUGUAUAAAUUGAGCAAUUGUGUGUUAAAAUAUUCUCGUGAAUUUACCAGACAAAAAAAAACUAUCCAAAUAUCAAA